rnacentral:rRNA from 1 species
GUAGGGAAUAUUGCACAAUGGAGGAAACUCUGAUGCAGCGACGCCGCGUGAGUGAUGAAGGCCUUCGGGUCGUAAAGCUCUGUCGCAGGGGAAUAACACAAUGAAGGUACCCUGUAAGAAAGGAUCGGCUAACUUCGUGCCAGCAGCCGCGGUAAGACGAGGGAUCCUAGCGUUGUUCGGAAUCAUUGGGCGUAAAGCGGAUGUAGGUGGCUAUGUAAGUCAGAUGUGAAAGCCUGGGGCUCAACCCCAGAAGUGAAUUUGAUACUGCGUAGCUUGAGUGUCGGAGAGGUUACUAGAAUUGUUGGUGUAGUGGUGAAAUACGUAGAUAUCAACAGGAAUACCGGAGGCGAAGGCGGGUAACUGGCCGAACACUGACACUGAGAUCCGAAAGCGUGGGGAUCAAACAGGAUUAGAUACCCCGGUAGUCC